UACAGAGGUGGCAAGCGUUGUUCGGAAUUACUGGGCGUAAAGGGCGCGUAGGUGGUCUCGAAAGUCCCGUGUGAAAUCCCUCGGCUCAACUGAGGAACUGCACGGGAAACUGCGAGGCUUGAGUUCGGGAGAGGGACGCGGAAUUCCGGGUGUAGCGGUGAAAUGCGCAGAUAUCCGGAGGAACACCGGAGGCGAAGGCGGCGUCCUGGACCGACACUGACACUGAGGCGCGAAAGCUAGGGGAGCAAAC
rnacentral:rRNA from 1 species